rnacentral:rRNA from 1 species
UACAGAGGUGGCAAGCGUUGUUCGGAAUUACUGGGCGUAAAGGGCGCGUAGGCGGCCUUCUAAGUCAGACGUGAAAUCCCUCGGCUUAACCUGGGAACUGCGUCUGAUACUGGGAGGCUAGAGUGCGGGAGAGGGAUGCGGAAUUCCAGGUGUAGCGGUGAAAUGCGUAGAUAUCUGGAGGAACACCGGUGGCGAAGGCGGCAUCCUGGACCAACACUGACGCUGAGUGAGCGAAAGCCAGGGGAGCAAACGGG